rnacentral:lncRNA from 1 species
UCUCAAGUCCUAUGGUGUGAACCGUUGGUGUUGAGACCAUACUUACAGAAUAAUAUUCUAAUGCUGUUGGCUCUAGUUGUUCAAUACUUCAAAGUCCUAUAGUGACUUCUCUUAUGGUAGAAGUAAGUGCAGGAUACAACACUCAAAUGAGAGACAAUGAUUGGGUCAGCACUAGAAUACAUUCUGAUAGCCGAGGUUUUGAGUCAGAUAAGAAUGAGACUAAAGAAGAAUGGCUUGAUAAGGA